rnacentral:tRNA from 15 species
GCGGGUGUGGCGGAACUGGUAGACGCGCUGGAUUUAGGUUCCAGUGGAGCAAUCCGUGGGGGUUCGAGUCCCUUCACCCGUACCA